CCUACGGGAGGCAGCAGUGGGGAAUUUUGGACAAUGGGCGCAAGCCUGAUCCAGCAAUGCCGCGUGAGUGAAGAAGGCCUUCGGGUUGUAAAGCUCUUUUGUCAGGGAAGAAACGGUGGGAGCUAAUAUCUCUUGCUAAUGACGGUACCUGAAGAAUAAGCACCGGCUAACUACGUGCCAGCAGCCGCGGUAAUACGUAGGGUGCAAGCGUUAAUCGGAAUUACUGGGCGUAAAGCGUGCGCAGGCGGUUUUGUAAGUUUGUCGUGAAAUCCCCGGGCUCAACCUGGGAAUGGCGAUGAAGACUGCAAGGCUAGAAUCUGGCAGAGGGGGGUAGAAUUCCACGUGUAGCAGUGAAAUGCGUAGAGAUGUGGAGGAACACCGAUGGCGAAGGCAGCCCCCUGGGUCAAGAUUGACGCUCAUGCACGAAAGCGUGGGGAGCAAACAGGAUUAGAUACCCUGGUAGUCCACGCCCUAAACGAUGUCUACUAGUUGUCGGGUUUUAAUUAACUUGGUAACGCAGCUAACGCGUGAAGUAGACCGCCUGGGGAGUACGGUCGCAAGAUUAAAACCUUAAAGGAAUUGACGG
rnacentral:rRNA from 1 species